GACGGGGCCCGCACAAGCGGUGGAGCAUGUGGUUUAAUUCGAUGAUACGCGAGGAACCUUACCUGGGCUCAAAUGUAUGUUUGACGUAUUCUGAAAGGGAUACUUCUUCGGACAAUAUACAAGGUGCUGCAUGGUUGUCGUCAGCUCGUGCCGUGAGGUGUCGGGUUAAGUCCCAUAACGAGCGCAACCCCUACCUUUAGUUGCCAUCAGGUUAAGCUGGGGACUCUAAAGGAACUGCCUACGCAAGUAGUGAGGAAGGUGGGGAUGACGUCAAAUCAGCACGGCCCUUACGUCCAGGGCUACACACGUGCUACAAUGGCCGGUACAAAGGGCAGCUACCUGGUGACAGGAUGCUAAUCUCAAAAGCCGGUCUCAGUUCGGAUCGGAGUCUGCAACCCGACUCCGUGAAGUUGGAUUCGCUAGUAAUCGCGCAUCAGCCAUGGCGCGGUGAAUACGUUCCCGGGCCUU
rnacentral:rRNA from 1 species